GACGAACGCUGGCGGCGUGCUUAACACAUGCAAGUCGAACGAUGAUGCCCAGCUCGCUGGGCGGAUUAGUGGCGAACGGGUGAGUAACACGUGAGUAACCUGCCCUUGACUUCGGGAUAACUCCGGGAAACCGGGGCUAAUACCGGAUAUGAGCCGUCCUCGCAUGGGGGUGGUUGGAAAGUUUUUCGGUCAAGGAUGGGCUCGCGGCCUAUCAGCUUGUUGGUGGGGUGAUGGCCUACCAAGGCGACGACGGGUAGCCGGCCUGAGAGGGCGACCGGCCACACUGGGACUGAGACACGGCCCAGACUCCUACGGGAGGCAGCAGUGGGGAAUAUUGCACAAUGGGCGAAAGCCUGAUGCAGCGACGCCGCGUGAGGGAUGAAGGCCUUCGGGUUGUAAACCUCUUUCAGCAGGGAAGAAGCGCAAGUGACGGUACCUGCAGAAGAAGCGCCGGCUAACUACGUGCCAGCAGCCGCGGUAAUACGUAGGGCGCAAGCGUUGUCCGGAAUUAUUGGGCGUAAAGAGCUCGUAGGCGGUUUGUCGCGUCUGGUGUGAAAACUCGAGGCUCAACCUCGAGCUUGCAUCGGGUACGGGCAGACUAGAGUGCGGUAGGGGAGACUGGAAUUCCUGGUGUAGCGGUGGAAUGCGCAGAUAUCAGGAGGAACACCGACGGCGAAGGCAGGUCUCUGGGCCGCAACUGACGCUGAGGAGCGAAAGCAUGGGGAGCGAACAGG
rnacentral:rRNA from 1 species